rnacentral:lncRNA from 1 species
CGCCGAGCUGUGAAGCUGCCGGUCUCCGCCCCGCUCCAGCGCCGCCUCGGCUCUUGGCAUAGUAAUCUCAGUUCCUGAUCGCUCAGAGCUGGCUCCUGGCUGCAGCGGACCGCUCGAAUCCCCCAGCAGUGGUGUGGAGGAGCCGGGGCUGGGUAGCGACUGGAAGCCCAGCAAAGCACAGACAGCGGCCCAGCGGGGGACACUCCGUGGGAGCAGGCCAGUUCUUCAGAAGACUCAUCCCUAUGUCUUCCCUCUGAUUCCGACUACUUCCCAGUGGAAAACAUACUUGGAACAGACACUGGGGUGCUCUUGGAGAGAGAUCCCAUGGGGACUGUACCUGACCCUCUGAGGGUGACUAAAGCUUCGAUAGUGGCAGCUUCUAGGAAGGAAGAGUCUCCAGGGGAGCUGCAGAGUGUCUCACCACAACCAGCUCAGCCAGACAAGAAUGUUAGUGGCAUUGGCAAU